GAUGAACGCUAGCUACAGGCUUAACACAUGCAAGUCGAGGGGUAACGAGAGGAAAGCUUGCUUUCCUUGUCGACGACCGGCGCACGGGUGAGUAACGCGUAUCCAACCUGCCCCCAACUAGGGAAUAACCUUGCGAAAGUAAGACUAAUACCCUAUAAUUUCCUCAGAUGUCAUCUGACGAGGAAUAAAGAUUUAUCGGUUGUGGAUGGGGAUGCGUCUGAUUAGCUUGUUGGCGGGGUAACGGCCCACCAAGGCAACGAUCAGUAGGGGUUGUGAGAGGAAGGUCCCCCACAUUGGAACGGAGACACGGUCCAAACUACUACGGGAGGCAGCAGUGAGGAAUAUUGGUCAAUGGGCGGAAGCAUGAACCAGCCAAGUAGCGUGCAGGAUGACGGCCCUAUGGGUUGUAAACUGCUUUUAUACAGGAAUAAAGUUAGCCACGUGUGGUUAUUUGUAGGUACUGUAUGAAUAAGGACCGGCUAAUUCCGUGCCAGCCGCCGCCGUAA
rnacentral:rRNA from 1 species